rnacentral:rRNA from 1 species
GAAAGAUUUCAUCGGUAUGGGAUGGGGUCGCGUCCUAUCAGGUAGUCGGCGGGGUAACGGCCCACCGAGCCUACGACGGGUAGCCGGCCUGAGAGGGCGACCGGCCACAUUGGGACUGAGAUACGGCCCAGACUCCUACGGGAGGCAGCAGUGGGGAAUAUUGCACAAUGGGCGCAAGCCUGAUGCAGCGACGCCGCGUGCGGGAUGACGGCCUUCGGGUUGUAAACCGCUUUUGAUCGGGAGCAAGCCUUCGGGUGAGUGUACCUUUCGAAUAAGCACCGGCUAACUACGUGCCAGCAGCCGCGGUAAUACGUAGGGUGCAAGCGUUAUCCGGAAUUAUUGGGCGUAAAGGGCUCGUAGGCGGUUCGUCGCGUCCGGUGUGAAAGUCCAUCGCUUAACGGUGGAUCCGCGCCGGGUACGGGCGGGCUGGAGUGCGGUAGGGGAGACUGGAAUUCCCGGUGUAACGGUGGAAUGCGUAGAUAUCGGGAAGAACACCAAUGGCGAAGGCAGGUCUCUGGGCCGUUACUGACGCUGAGGAGCGAAAGCGUGGGGAGCGAACAGGAUUAGAUACCCUGGUAGUCCACGCCGUAAACGGUGGAUGCUGGAUGUGGGGCCCGUUCCACGGGUUCCGUGUCGGAGCUAACGCGUUAAGCAUCCCGCCUGGGGAGUACGGCCGCAAGGCUAAAACUCAAAGAAAUUGACGGGGGCCCGCACAAGCGGCGGAGCAUGCGGAUUAAUUCGAUGCAACGCGAAGAACCUUACCUGGGCUUGACAUGUUCCCGACCGCGGCAGAGAUGUCGUUUCCCUUCGGGGCGGGUUCACAGGUGGUGCAUGGUCGUCGUCAGCUCGUGUCGUGAGAUGUUGGGUUAAGUCCCGCAACGAGCGCAACCCUCGCCCUGUGUUGCCAGCACGUCAUGGUGGGAACUCACGGGGGACCGCCGGGGUCAACUCGGAGGAAGGUGGGGAUGACGUCAGAUCAUCAUGCCCCUUACGUCCACGGCUUCACGCAUGCUACAAUGGCCGGUACAACGGGAUGCGACACGGCGACGUGGAGCGGAUCCCUGAAAACCGGUCUCAGUUCGGAUUGGAGUCUGCAACCCGACUCCAUGAAGGCGGAGUCGCUAGUAAUCGCGGAUCAGCAACGCCGCGGUGAAUGCGUUCCCGGGCCUUGUACACACCGCCCGUCAAGUCAUGAAAGUGGGCAGCACCCGAA